CAAUAAUUAGUUUAAAAAAAAUUUUAAUUUUGGGAAUUAAAAAUAUAUAUAUUAUAUAUUAUUGA
rnacentral:tRNA from 1 species